rnacentral:rRNA from 1 species
GACGAACGCUGGCGGCGUGCUUAACACAUGCAAGUCGAACGGAAAGGCCUGCUUUCCCUUGUGGAUUGCGGGUGCUCGAGUGGCGAACGGGUGAGUAACACGUGAGUGAUCUGCCCCCAACUUGGGUAUAAGCCUGGGAAACUGGGUCUAAUUCCCGAUAGGACUGCAGGGUGGUGCCUGUGGUGGAAAACGAUUUUCUAGUGGUUGGGGAAGAGCUCGCGGCCUAUCAGCUUGUUGGUGGGGUAAUGGCCUACCAAGGCGGCGACGGGUAGCCGGCCUGAGAGGGUGGACGGCCACAUUGGGACUGAGAUACGGCCCAGACUCCUACGGGAGGCAGCAGUGGGGAAUAUUGCACAAUGGGCGGAAGCCUGAUGCAGCGACGCCGCGUGGGGGAUGACGGCCUUCGGGUUGUAAACUCCUUUCGACCGCGAGGAAGCCGCCUGGUUGGAAGGGUGGUGACGGUAGUGGUAGAAGAAGCACCGGCUAACUACGUG